rnacentral:tRNA from 1 species
CGUGCGCUGGUGGACGGCGGGGACGCCGCGCGGUUCAUGCGCGUCCGGCAGGCCGAUGCGUUGUUCGAACCUGUCGCGUCCGU